GUUGUAUGGCUUGAUAGCAACAGAUGGACACAUCUCCUCCCUCACCCUUUCUUUUUAUUGUACUCCAUAAAAAUGAAUCCCUUUCCUUAGGCUGAGAGCAUCUGUCUCUUGUGUGAGAAGAUUUAAUAUUUUUUUUUUUCCUCUUUCUUUCCCCCCUCCCUCUUCUGUACUUUGUGAAGCUGUGUGACUCUUCAAGGUAAAGUGUGAAGGCCACACACACACAAAAUUGUGUUCAGACAAAGCACAAAAGCCUUGAAGGAGGCAAGUGAAAGUCAAGUUCUUCAAAGUCAUUUGCUGUCUGGUGCCAGGAACCACAAAAACAGAUGGAGAGUUGGAGAAAGAAGUGGUAGAAGAAAGCCUCUCAAGGCUUGCAUGACUGCAAAUGAAUAGAGUAGAAUACUUCAGUCAUUUGAGAGUCAUGUUACUGGUCCUGAAACAAAACUGUUGUGACAAGUUGUUGAAUGGAAGACUUUCCAAGAAAUCAAUCCUUCAUACCAGAAAGACUUGCAGACAAGGUGCAGUGCCAUGCAGAAUCAGGCCUCAUUUCUUACCACCAGAGGAGUUGUACUUGAUAACCAAGACCUGCAGAAAUAAAUAUGUGAAAACAGCAAUAACUUCAGAUGAGCAUCUAAAACACUCAGACCCUGGAAGACAAGAGGAUGACAGCAGCAGGUGGCUUUACCUUUCCCUGGACACUUAGAGAUACAGGCACUGACCAGUCCCUGUUAGUGAGCUUCCUGGGGGAAUCAGGCUUUGCAAGAAGCUGAGUACAAGAUACCCUUACAUAAGUGUGAUGUGUAGAUUUUUUUUUAUUUUUUUUUGUUCUGCCUUAUUAAUGAUCUGGAGCAAUGGUAGCAGUAGAUUGCUCCUGCAGUGUUUAUUUAUUUAUUUAUUUAUUGACAGCAAGGAACAGCCUAAUAUUGCUUCUGUUGCAGUCCCUGCAAGAAAUGUAGGUCAGUACAGAAAAUAGUACGGCAUUGUUUCCUUAUCCUUGGAAUUGGCAGACAGGUGAGAGAAAUAGGGAUGCUCACCUUUUAGUCAACCAGAGGCACCUUACAGGGAAAGAUGGUUGGUCUAUCUUAACACAAAAAAAAAAAAAAAAAAAAAAGUACAAUGAAAUGCCAUAAGCUGGUGACAUGGCUGUUCCAGUUUGAGUUUCAUCUUGUGAAUUGGUUAGCCUUACACAAAUGGAAUUGAAAUUUGAUCUGCUUGCUUUUUUUUUCUCUUGUAAAAUUCAGGCAUUCCGACCAGCAAGUCACUGGAUUUUUUUGCUAGAAAAUAUGCUUUUCAUAUGCUUAGUUUUCUGUGUAGUUUACACUGAAAUGAAUCUGAGAGUAUUUCUGUGUAUGACAGUAAUGAAUUGAUGUUAGUAGAAAUUCUGUCUUGCUAUGUGUAGCAUUUCUAAAAGAAUUUAUUUUACUCUUAAUAUCACUACAGGGAUUUUAAAACAGAUAAUUUGAAAAGCAAUUCCUU
rnacentral:lncRNA from 1 species